rnacentral:tRNA from 3 species
GGAGAGAUGGCCGAGCGGUUUAAGGCAGCAGUCUUGAAAACUGCCGUGGGUUUACGCCCACCGUGGGUUCGAAUCCCACUCUCUCCGCCA